rnacentral:rRNA from 1 species
AGAGUUUGAUCCUGGCUCAGGACGAACGCUGGCGGUGUGCUUAACACAUGCAAGUGGUGCGACGAACCAGAGCUUGCUCUGGGGCAAAGCCGCGAACGGGUGAGUAACACGUGGGUAAUCUACCCCGAUGACCGGGACAACCCGAGGAAACUCGGGCUAAUACCGGAUGUGGUACGGAGACAUAAGUCUCUUUACUAAAGGUAGCUUCGGCUUCCGCAUUGGGAGGGGCCCGCGGCCCAUUAGCUAGUUGGUGGGGUCAAGGCCUACCAAGGCAACGAUGGGUAGCUGGUCUGAGAGGACGAUCAGCCACACUGGGGCUGAGACACGGCCCAGACUCCUACGGGAGGCAGCAGUGGGGAAUCUUGCGCAAUGCGCGAAAGCGUGACGCAGCAACACCGCGUGAGGGAAGACGGCCUUAGGGUUGUAAACCUCUUUCAGAUGGGACGAAGGUGAUGCGGUGAAUAGCCGAUGUCAUUGACGGUACCGUCAGAAGAAGCUCCGGCUAACUACGUGCCUGCAGCCGCGGUAAUACGUAGGGAGCGAGCGUUGUCCGGAAUCAUUGGGCGUAAAGAGCAUGUAGGUGGAUCAAUUAGUCUGCUGUGAAAGUCAAAGGCUCAACCUUUGAAAGCCGGUGGAUACUGUUGGUCUAGAGUACGGAAGAGGCGAGUGGAAUUCCUGGUGUAGCGGUGGAAAUGCGCAGAUAUCAGGAGGAACACCAAUAGCGAGGCAGCUCGCUGGGACGUUACUGAC